rnacentral:rRNA from 1 species
GAUGAACGCUAGCUACAUGCCUAACACAUGCAAGUCGAGGGGCAGCAUGGUCUUAGCUUGCUACGGCCGAUGGCGACCGGCGCACGGGUGAGUAACACGUAUCCAACCUGCCGUCUACUCUUGGCCAGCCUUCUGAAAGGCAGAUUAAUACAAGAUGGCAUCAUGAGUCCGCAUGUCCACAUGAUUAAAGGUUUUCCUGUAGACGAUGGGGAUGCGUUCCAUUAGAUCGUAGGCGGGGUAACGGCCCACCUAGACUUCGAUGGAUAGGGGUGAUGUGAGAAAGGUCCCCCGCAUUGGAGCUGAGACACAGACCACACUCCUACGGGAGGGAGCAGUGUGGAAUAUUAGGCAAUGGGGGCAGACCUGAACCAGCCAAGUAGCGUGAAGGAUGACUGCGCUAUGGGUUGUAAGCUUCUUUUAUAGAGGAAUAGAGUCGGGUAUGUAGACCCGUUUGAAUGUACUUUAUGAAUAAGCAACGGCUAACUACGUG